rfam:Candidatus Curtissbacteria bacterium RIFCSPHIGHO2_02_FTLL_40_16b rifcsphigho2_02_scaffold_27477, whole genome shotgun sequence.
UGGGCUGUUCGCCCAUUAAAACGGUACGCGAGCUGGGUUCAGAACGUCGUGAGACAGUUCGGCCUCUAUCCGGUGUAAGCGUUAGAUUUCUGAGGGGGGUCGCCACUAGUACGAGAGGACCGUGGUGAGCAAACCUCUAGUGUGCCAGUUGUCGCAUCAGCGGCACUGCUGGGUAGCUACGUUUGUAACUGAGAAGCGCUGAAAGCAUCUAAGCGCCAAACAGGCCCCAAGACUAGAAAUCAUUAAGAUCCCAGAAAGACUAUCUGGUUCGUCCAUAGGACGAUCAGCCUUUGGCU